GACAGUAUCUGAAAUUUUGGGAAUUUCGACUAGAUCUGUGUAUCGGAUACUGAAAGAACAAAAGGAGAACGUUCAGUUAACAAGUCAGAAAAACUCCGGACCCAAACUGACAUUCAAAGAUAAAAUUGAUGAUUUUGACUUUUCGGCGAUACGACGUAAAGUUCACCAAUUCUUUUAUGAGAAGGACCCACCAACUAUUGCCAAGGUUCAUCAGGCUGUAAGUGAUGAUCCUGACCUACCAAAUAUGUCUAAGAGUACCAUGCGAGCAGUUUUAAAACAUUUAAAUUUUAAAUAUGCGAGACGCAACCGACGCAGCUGCUUGAUGGAUCGUCAAGAUUUAAUUCUGUGGCGUGCACGGUACUUGACGAAAAUCAAAGAAUAUCGGAGACAAGAAAAAGUAAUUUAUUAUCAAGACGAGACGUGGAUUAGUGAAGGUCAUACAACUAGUAAAGUUUGGGUGGAUACAACAAUAGAAUCUUCCAAACAAGCCUUUUCAAAAGGUUUAACUACAGGCCUAAAGGGCCCAACCGGAAAAGGUCGACGCCUAAUAAUUUCACAC